UACGUAGGGGGCAAGCGUUGUCCGGAAUCAUUGGGCGUAAAGCGCGUGUAGGCGGCCCGAUAAGUCCGCUGUGAAAGUCCAGGGCUCAACCCUGGGAUGCCGGUGGAUACUGUCGGGCUCGAGUCCGGAAGAGGAGUGUGGAAUUCCCAGUGUAGCGGUGAAAUGCGCAGAUAUUGGGAAGAACACCAGUGGCGAAGGCGGUUCUCUGGGACGGUACUGACGCUGAGACGGCGAAAGCGUGGGGAGCGAACAGG
rnacentral:rRNA from 1 species